GAAGUCCACAACGGUCCGAGAGGGAAUCAGGUGAAAAUCCUGAACAGUACCCGCUGCUGUAAGUUCCACCAGAGACAACACCUUGUCUCACAAAAUCUUGUAGAACAUCUUUGCCACUGAGUCACACUCGGGAAGGCUCUACAAGGGAACAAGUCAGAAAACCUGCCGACAAAAU
rnacentral:ncRNA from 1 species